UACAGAGGGUGCGAGCGUUAUCGGAAUUACUGGGCGUAAAGCGCACGUAGGUGGCGACGUAAGUCGGUGGUGAAAGCCCGGCGUCAACCUGGGAACUUGCAUUCGAGACUGCAUUGCUGGAGUACGGAAGAGGAAGGCGGAAUUCCGGUGUAGCGGUGAAAUGCGUAGAUAAUCGGGAGGAACAUCAGUGGCGAAGGCGGCCUUC
rnacentral:rRNA from 1 species